AACGCACAUUGCGCCCACUAGUAUUCUAGUGGGCAUGCCUAUUCGAGCGUCAUUUCGACCCCUAAGCCCCUGUUGCUUAGCGUUGGGAAUCUACGGCGUAGUUCCUCAAAGUUAGUGGCGGAGUUAGGGUACACUCUCAGCGUAGUAAUUUCUCUCGCUCGUGUGGUGGCCCUGGCUGCUAGCCGUUAAAACCCCUAUAUUUUCUAGUGGUUGACCUCGGAUUAGGUAGGAAUACCCGCUGAACUUAA
rnacentral:misc_RNA from 1 species